UCCCGCUCCGGGCGGGCGGUCCCGCUGCCAGGUGCUUCCCGGCCCACUGCCCUGCGGCCUGCUCGACGCAAGGUGGAGCGGGGGCGGGCGGGGCCCAGCCUGGGCCGGCCCAGCUGCCCCUCGCCCCCGCGCCGCCACCUGCCGCCCGCGUCAGAGCCGCCGCGGGGCUGGCACCGCCGCAGGGUCCGCCGCUCCCCAGCGUCCGCUGCUCCCCAGCGUCCGCAGCCGGAGCCCCGCGGGCCGCCCUCCCGGCACCCGGCCGGGCUGGGGGCAGCGCGGCGUUGUGAGCGCGGGCCGAUCGCAUCGUGGCAGAAAUCCUGCGUUACGGGUCCGAGCGAGAAACCGGUAGCUGGGCCGGAGGGGUGCAGUUCCCACCGGGUGUAAAAGCUCUCGUUCUCUCGUUCCGUAAUCAUACCUUCUGCUUUCAGGAAGAGGAGACCUAAAAGGAAAAAAAAACAAAAAAAACCACUUUUUUUUCCCCAGAUAAUCAAUAAACAACCUACACUGGGCUUAAUAAACAUAUUUAAUGUAUUAACAAUGAAAACAUUGCCAUCAAAUACUUGCUUUUCACUUCAGGCAAUAAAAUAAUUUAUUAAGUUUCCAUUUGUUUCUAGGCUUUCUUAUUUCCAUUUUUUUCUUAUCUUGAGGUGAUUCUGUAGAAUUUGUAGUUCCCUGCUUCUGGGGAAUGCUUUUAUCCAAACAAAUUAGAUUCAGUCAAAGCAUUUCUGUUGAUGGAAUACUUUUAACAAGUAAUUGACUGAAUUUGAGGCCUUUACAUAUCCUACAUUAUCUCCAUGUGCUAUAAGUUCACCCACUAUAAUAUAUCACCUCAUCUCGUGGGAGCAGCAUAACAUCUCUAGAAAGUGCACUAUGGAACACUGGCAGUUUGGGGAAGAACCUUGCAUCUGAAGUUCGACCAGAAGUCAGUACAGUCAAAAAUGCUUAAAAACAGGUAUAGGGCAGAGUUAGGUAAAGGUCUAGAGGGAUUUUUCAGAAUUAAUUGUACCGUCAGAAAUCUACAUGAGUUGUGGAUUUGUGUAUUCAUGUGAAAACAGAUAUUGCCAUUCUUUACAAGUACAAAUUGUCUAGUAUCUCUCAAAAAAAUUAUUAAAUUUAGGUUUUUACAUAUGUAUCUUUACCCAGUGUGAGCUGGCUGCUGACUUGAACAGUUUGAUGAGGAUCUAUCUGAGAGUCAUUAAAGAAAGGUAACAAAUCAAGCAGUACAAAGUGUUCAAUGGACUAAUAGAAUUAAUUUAAAAACAUUAGAUUUGGCAUUAGCUGGGAAUACUGAAACCCAAGUACAAAGGUAGCAGAGAACCGUAACAUAAAACCAACUGCAAGAUAAAAAUGAAACUUGUCAGGAAAAUUAUGAGUGAUUUGCAAAGUUUGAGGCAGAAUCUCCGUUUUGUCCUGCUUUAAUAGUUCAACAUUCUUGGUUGUCAACUCUAUGUACAGAAGAUUCCCAUGGCUGUGGAGCUGCUCGCAAACAAGGGCUUAAGGUGGUUUGGAAUUCUUGGAUGUUUUUAUCAUUCUGUGGAUUAAUUUAACCAAAAUAUCAUCUGCAGGUUUUCAUGUUAAGUUUUCAGUUCCUUAAAAUUUGUCAUGUUUCAGAAGGUAGUUGCAAAACUACAAAUAUUGAUAAUAACGUAUCUAUAAAUACGUUUGUACAUUUCAAACAGUAUUCCCUUGCAUGCCCCCACAAAAUUCCAGGCCCCUCUUUAAGUGACUUUCAAGCAGUUUGUUUUCAUUGAGUUUUGUCACUUUUCACCUUCAGAUGAGAAUUCUUGUCUCUUCAUUUUGAGCAAUGUAUGUUUCCUAACAAAAUGAGGAGAGAAGCAGUCUCCUGGUGUUUGUUACGGCUCUGUUUCAAGCAGCCAUAGUGUCUGUUUGAGCAUUAGUCUUCUAAGAUUUCCAAGCAGCUGGGAGAAACUGGUGACAACUCUUGCUGCCCAUUAGUUUCUGAGAAGCAGAACUGAAACUGGCAGGAACGUUGCUGGCUCUACACUGCUAUGGUUUUGAUAAAUCAGAAGAGAAAACCAAAGCAAUCUUUGUAUACGUUAUCUUUGAUACCAAGGAAGUCUAGAAACUAAAAAUGCAGAGGACAGUAUUUUGCAUCCCGUUAUUGAUUACCCCAGUCAUUGUGGAAAGUGUCUCAUUCACAACUUGGAAAUAGAUAUGUGGAUGGGUUGCAUUUUUGAUUGUGUUUUGUUUUGUUUGUUUUUUUUUAAACUUUGAUAUAUUUAAUAUAAGGAACUGGACACUUCACAUCUUUGUGUACAAAGUUUUCAUUAUUUACUUGCUAAAAAAUCAUCACAAUUAAGGAUGCGGCCCCUGUCAAAGUGGUUUGACCUAAUACAUUCUUCUGAUCCUGGAUGCAAACCCGCUAGUUAAAAUUUCUUCUGUCUUUGUAGUGUUCUUCAAUACAAGAGCACAUUGUAUGUAUGAUUUAAACUGAUUUGUGCUGCGAGAAUUAGAAAUCCUGUUUUCCUUUGUGGUGCACAGCUUUCAAUCUGACUCUUCAAUCAGGGAUGCAGGAGUUAAUGUACUAAUUUGCAAAAUCUCAACAAAGCAGUACAUUUCUGCAUCUUCCUACAUGUGGCAGGCUUGCAAUUACGUUUUUUUAAAGGAGGAAGUCUAAGAAGAUGGUCAUCCAUAACAAUUAGUUUGUCUCUAGUGAUGUAAUUUGUGGGGGAAUUUAGGCAACCUAAAUAAGCACAGUGUAGUUGAAAUGUCAAAUUGCAUAGCUGCUGUACUUCACCUUCUUUGAAAUUUUUUUCCAUUGUCUGAAGGCAAGAAUUAAAGUACUUCCAUAGUCAUACUGGAGUAUGGAUGCCCCAAAACCAGCUAAUGAUUAUUACAGGCAGUUUUUGCCAUUUUAAAAAUAUGUUGUGUUAUGGUUUGUGAUCUCCUGAGUAUGUAUUAUUAAAUAAAGGCAACCAGUCAUCUCUUUGUAUGCUUACUCCUUAUUCAUGUUUAUGAAAUGAAAUUUCACAUCCAAUCUUGAGUAUUCUAGAUUUAAUGGUGUUCAUUCAGUUGAAUGAAUUUAGAAUUACAGUGGAAAAUGACUCAGUGAAUUGUUUCUUUUUCCAUUUCUGGUUUGUGAAGAUUCCUUUUCCUUUUUCCUUUUUACUUUUUCCUUUUCCUUUUUCUGAUUUCCCUUAGUAAAACUUUUGUUUUCACUUCUAUAUAUUUUAUUGGAAUGUCAGUUCCUAAAACUUACUUUUCAGAUGAUGCUUUUUUCUUUUUGGGGAAUACACUUUUGCUCCUUUAUAGAAAUUGUAGUUGAAAGAUUUACUAGGAGAACAAUGACCCAGAAAUAUGCAGCUUGACUGCAGCGAGCUGAGGAACUAAUCUUGAAUAAAACGUGGAUUUUAGAGAUAUCAACAUACGGUUUUAGUCCCCUUCCAGAUGGCCUUUCAGUUUCUGGUUUUGCUUCCAAGUGUAUCUUAUAAGUCUUGAAGGUGUACCUUGGGAUGCUUUAAAGUCUCAAAAAACGUUAAAGCCACUUGAAAUUUGCACAUUCACUUAGAAAGGCGUUUGUAAACAUUUAUCAAGAGAAAUUACCCUUUUUUCACUUCCUCAGCUUUUGGUUUUUUUUUUUCUGUUUCUGUACUUGACCACGAAUUUAUUUGUUCACUUAAAGCUUGAAGCUAUGAUUCCUAAUAAAUAGUUGUGUCUUGCACAACUUGAGAAGGCUGCACCUGCUUGAAAGAUUUAAGGAUAAGGAUGUAAACUGUGAUAAAGCAUCAAUGUGUACAUAGUUGUAUAUAGCUAUAAUGACUUGUGUAUAUGCCACUGACUUUUCAAAACUUCUGCUUGUUAUGAAAAACUGUUUGUGAAGAUGACAAAAGCCUUCAAAACCAUUUUGUUUCUCUUGCUCUCCUUUUGCCCUACUUGUUGCAUAUUGUUUUUCUCUUGAAAGCAAUUAACCUGUGCUGAUACCUAUGUCAGGUAGGCGUGCUGUAUAAAAUAAAUGUACAACAACAAAACCACGACCUGAAAUUCCAUUCUUAUGCUAAUUUUAACUUUAGAUGUGAUCUCUGUUUCAGAGACUUCACACAAGCAAAAAAUUAUUUUAGAAAAAGGAAAAACCUGAAAAGGUCAUUCCACAUUAUUCAUCCAAAAGGCAAAUCUUGUGUGUUCAAAAUGCAAUUGGAAUGCAAAUUUGGGUACAAGCAUUAGAUUGUGAACAGAUGUGAUUUUUUUUGUUUAUUUUCAAAGUACCUGGAACUUUAGUUGAGAACAUCUCCUUCAAUCCUUUAUUUUCUGCUACUAGAUACAGUAGCAAAAUACUAUAUCAAAAUAUUAUUUUUUUGUUUUAAAUUACAUCUGAACUCGUGACUGAUCAAAUUACAGUUGUAGUGCAGUUAGAUUACCUGGUUUUAUUAGUAGCACAUUUUCCAUUUGUCUUUGUUUAUGAUGACUCUGCAUAAGUGUCCUUAUCCAUUAUAUUAUCUAAUUAAAUGUAUUGUGAAUAUUUUCCCAUAUGGUUCAUGUUUGUUUCCUUUUGUAAUUUACCCUCUGUUUCUGAUUUAGUUCUGUUCCCCAGCCCUCUUGCAGUUUGCUGUCUCACAGUUUUGUGCAAUUGCUCAUUUGGCUCUUGUUUGGACUUACUCUCUUUGUUGUGAUAUCUGUACAGCUGGCUCACUCAGCUCUUUAAAUCCCAACUUAAAAUUGAUUUCUUAAUUGUUGCAUACUCUUCUCAUUUAUAUUUGGGGGUUUUAAUUGCUGGAACACGUUCUUAUAUUAGACGAUAUUCAUUUUUUAUGUCUCAUUUGUCUUUUUUUCCUCACUACAAAUUGCAUAGUACUUCUGCAGGAAAUGUUUGUUAAUACAUAAAGCAAAGCUGUUGUUUUGGGGUGGCUAUAGUUUUGGAGCUUGCAGUGUGUGUUCUCAAUAUACAGAAUUAACAUCAAGAAAAACAGAAAAAAAAUAUUAGAGUCUACCAAAAGAAAUAAAUACAAUUAAAAGACUAAUUUUGCUUAAGAGACCUAAAAAAAUCAUCAUGCCAUAAGGAGAAACACAGAUACUGUAAUAAUUAUUUUCUGAGAUGUGAACUGGAGCUUUGGUGUACUCAGCAUAGCUGGUCUGAUUCUCUUGUUAGGCAAGAUAGGGAUGUAUCUGGUAGACACAAACAUAUGGUAUUAAAAUGCACAAUAAUAUGUUUGAAACUCAGAUGCACAGACCAAAUUUAUUGGCACUGUAGAGCUGUGUAAAAUCUAGGGUAAUUAUAUCUGAGUUCAGUUUACUGGAGCAGGGAACAGGAGUUCAGUGCAAGAAUGAUCAUGUGUUGAUAAAGAAUUGGAAAGGGAUUACGAGUCUCAUGUAAGGCUAUGCAUAUCAGGAAUUUUUGGUUGCAAGAUCAAACAAGGAAAGCCUAGUUUGGUUCCAUCUAAACAUAAAACUUUUUUUUUUUUUUUUUCCUUGUGGAAAUAAAAGCCUAAAAAGAUUUUAUGUGGGAUCAAGUAGAAAAUGUCUUUUUUACCCAUGUAUUAAAAGCUUGGAUUAGAGGAGUUGUUACAAGCAGAGCAAGUGGUCCAGGAGUUUCCAUGAACCAAAUGGUUUGAGUUUGGACAGAGGUGUUUGUGGUGGGCAGUACUGUAAAUCUCUGGGCUUUAGAUAUGCUGAAGAACCCUCACUUUCUCUUACUGAUGCUGACUGACUGUGCAAGUAUGGAAGGAGGACAAGAGCCCCUGUGUUGUCUUAAGAGAAGUACUUUGAAAUACUCUCUACUCCUCUAACCACUUGGAUAUUCUGGCCAUUACGUUACAAUCUUCCUCUAGUUCGAUGACUGUUUUAAGUAUUUUGUACAAACAAAAAACAUUAAUCAGUACAGAUGAAGACCACCUGAACUGUUUUCUUUAGGAAGGUGAAUUGAUGUAAUUGGUGAAUGAUGAUGAUGAUUCAGAUUUCUUUGAGGAGAGGAUAGAAUCAAGCCUUGGUUUUUAACAUCCUGGAGGAGCUCAGUGACUACAGGACUUUCAUAUUAAAGAUGGAUUGCACCCAACAUUUCAUAUGCACGGGGCAUGUUCUGAAUGGCCCAGAUCAGUUUCUGCAGAGCACCAGGUAGAGAAUAGCCGGGCUUGAAGAUCUGCAGAUGGUUAGGGAGGGUGAAGAGCUAGGCAGUUGUAGGGACAACCAGAAGCAGAUCUUCAUGGGCAUGGAUAAUUUAACUGAAAAAUCCUGAGUAACUAGGAUUAGCCAGAAUCUGGAAGUGAUAAUGGAGAGCUUUGUUUGGAUUUAGAUGCCUGCAGGAUCUUGUCUGACCACUGUUUUGCAAAUACGAAAGCUAUCUGGAGUAAUAAAAUUUGAUGUGCUUUUAGGUAAUUUUAUUUCUGUUUAAAAGAUUCAUUAUCUAUUUCAGUAGCCGUUGGUAGGCAUUCAUUGGAGCCGUCGAUUUCUUGCAGGCGAUGACUAAUUCGUGUUUAGUAACUGUGGUAGGUGAUCAUUUGUGGGAAUUAGCUGCCUUGUGUAGAGUUUUACAUCGGACUAAUGUCUCCAGACGGCCUUUGUAGGAUCUAGUCAGUAGAGCCUGGUACCCCUCACAGGCAGCUGAAGUUAAGGGAGGUAAACCCACACUGUCUCUUACUCUUGAUAUCAGUCCCAUGAGUGCGAUGUGUUUUGCUGUCAUGAGGUUGUUGGGGUUUAUGGACAUAAUUCAUCUCUCUGCUCUAACUUUUACUCCCAGUUUUGUAGGGUGAAAAGUCAUAGAAUUUGUUGCCUCACCUGCAACUGGUGUCUUUUUUGCUGAGUAUCUUUAGACAUCGUUCCCUGGUAAAGUCAUGCAACCUCUGUGGAUUUUCGCACAGUGUACCAUAUAUCACGCAACACUAAAGGCAACAAAAGCAUUUGUUGAAUUAAAGAAAUGGUUUGGUUUGGUUUUUAAUAUUUGUAAUCCAGCCAAAUGUUUGUAAAACAUGUGGGCAUUCCUAGCAUAGAGAGCAAAACUGUGAAAACUCUAUUCUGCAAAGAUGUAUAAUUCAAAAGCUCAAAGUUUGUUCCUGCAGCCAGGUGUGCUUGUAUUUGGAUUCAUCGUUGCAGCAUUUUGAAGACGACAGAAUUAAUUUGUUAUUAGUUGUUAUUAAUAAUAGUACCUCGGUGCCAUGGCAUUUAUUCUAAAUAACAUCAAGAACUUUGUGAGAUUCAUUGCUAAUUUUAGAUGUAAGAUUAAUUUGCUUUUCACUACAAUAACAAUCUUCAUCAUGAAUCCAGGACUAUACUUGCAUGCUUCACCUUAGACUGCUUUAUCUUUAGUUGGUGAUAGCUUCAUAAAGACUGCUCUGCUCCUAAAUAGUAUUUAUAGUGUUAGAGAAGCAGACAUUUUUAUCUUAAGAUUGUUGCUUGCUUAAAUGUUUAUUCCAGAAGGUCUGAAAAAAUAUGUUUGUAACUACUGUUAAUUUCCCCCCGUGAAAAGUAGCUUAUGUAUAACUAUUUUUCAGAGUCUAUUUUGAGACAUUUUAACUACAGUCUAGUCUUAAUCUGAAUCAGACUAUAUCACAGUCACAUUUUCUCUUUAAUAGUGAAGCGCUGCAUUAGUUUUACAGCCUCUGAAACUGCAUUUUAAGGACAUACGCGUUGCUUGGGUCUCCAUUCUCCUCAAACUGAUACAUACUGAUAUGAAUCCUAAGCAAACAGUUUUGGUGCUGUGUUCCCAGGCACUUCCCUGUGGUAUGGGGAUGGAUAAUGCUUUCUGUUGACUUGGGCAAGACUGAAGCAAAAAAAAAGUAGACAGAACUGACCAUUGCUGCGACUACCUAGACUGAAAUGCCAAAUUCGGCAAACAGGCAUAGGAGAAAAGACUAGACAGAGUAUCCAGCCAGCCAUGGAUCACCAGAUGUGCCAGAACAAAACCCAUGGCUAAACUGACAUGGAAAUAUUUUAUGUAAAUUUAGCUGUGCGCCCUUUUUCUUGCUUGCUUCUCAUUGCUGUCUCUCAUGUCCUACCACACGAGAGCUCAGGGUGCCUUUCUUCAGUACUUUUUCUUACCUUUCAGAAUAUUAAAAAAUAUACAAAGCAAUUUUAGAUAACGUUUAUGGUGUAUAUCUGUUAUUUAUGUUGCAUCUGUUUGGAUACACACACCCAUGCAUAAAGCUAUUUUUAAAGAUUAGGAAGGUCACAAAGGCAUGGGCUUGGCCUAGAUUUGUGAUCCCUUGGUUAUACCCGCAUCUGCCUGCCCCAUCCCUCCCCAGGAGAUUACUGCACCACAGCCGAGGCUCCUGUUCAAAUCCCUGUGUGUUAGCAAACUGAAAACAGCAGUAGUUCAAAUUAAAAGUACUACACUGGACCAGUAACUGCAGACCCAGUCUUUCUCCCGUGUAUUUGAAGUGGCUGAAGAGGUUGUGAUUUUCAGUUGUAUGAUCAAUGCUGUUUUCAGCUGUUCCAGCUCUAUCCAGCAUGGAUGGCAACACUACAGAAUGGAAUAUUAAUGCUUCCCUUUUCAGUCAUAGAGUUUUAAUUUUUACCCAUAUUAUGUUAGCUAUAUUACUCCAUCUCUUCCUGUGCCUUGAAAAGAUGUGUCACUUGGCAAUGUAUUAAUAUAUCUUUCCUCCUUGUUCAAAAUAGUUUUCAAAUCCUGAUCAUGCAGGUUAUGCAAAGCCCACUCAGAAUACAUUAUUGGGAUUUCCAUGGAAGGCAGUUCUAGACAGAUACUUAUGUUUGAUUUUGACACAUAUGACAUGCGAUAUAUGACAUGCAAUCAUGUCAGACAUAUUUCAUUCAUCAGAGGUGGCUUCCAAAAUGCUUUUAGAAGCUAGCCAAAAAUUCCUUAACCAAUAAGAGUGUUUGAGGAUUUGUUUGGACUUUUUUGUUCCAACAGUAUCUGCUUUCAUAACUACCAGGUGGGGGUAUACAUCUCUGCGGGUGAGUAGUACAGGGGAGUAGGUAACAGAAAAGCUCCAAGUACUUUCAUUCCAUGGUACUUCUAGCAAAAGAUUCAGAUUUCUCCAAACCUUUUGCUCUUCCCCAUCAGAAUCUCAACAAACUCAUCGGGAAGCUCUGUCUUCCUCAAUUAAAAGAAUGUUAAAGACACUUAAUUUCCCUUUUGCAGUCCUACUCGGAUCUAAAUCUGCAUUUGACAUUUUAUGCUACGCCCAGUUCUGGCAGAUGUAGGCUCUGUGGCCUUGCAAUUAGCUACUGUGUUAAGUGAUAUCUAAUUUUAGGAGAUGCCAUAUGGCUUUCCCUGCAUUUUCCAAGGUAGUUUAUGAAAGGUAAGCAUGCUGUUUAGUGACAGAGAUCCAUCACUUCCUGAAGCCGUGGGAGGGUUUGUGCUUCCUCAGGAGGAUCCAGUGCUCCUUGGAGCACAAUCCACCACCAGACUAUGUGGAGCCCUUCCUACCUCAUUCCAGAUAAGAUCUCAAAAAGAAAACAUAGGGGCUAGUUAGUAUCAGGACAUUGAUCUGGAGCAUGAGAAUGUAAGUUUCAGGAUGAUGGUGUAGCAGUAAUUUUUAUUCUCUCCCAUUAGAACAGGUGUGUAACUACUUCUACAUUAAUACAGUCCUACAAUUACAUUCGGCCCUUUGAAGGCAACUGCGAGGCUGAUGUGGCCCUUGGUGAAAAUGAGUUUGACUCCCCUGCAUUAGAAGAUGACAUUUGAUUUUAGGGACUAGAAAUCUCCAAUUUUUAAGUUACUAUUCAUUGUGGUGUAAGAGACAUCUAAUCUGUUAUCUGACCAUCUGGAUUGCUUUUAUAAGAAAAACAUCAUUCCAGUAUUGGAAGGAAUAUUUCAGCUUGCCAUAUUUAAUCAGAACAUAUUGAAGCAAGAUGCAAAGUAGUAUCAGAUGAAAGCUGAACUCCUCCGUUAGAUGCUAAGUGAGUAUAACCUUCCUGUCUAAAGAGAGAAUCAAAGAGUUUAAGAAAUUACUGGCUUAGUGUUGUGCAGAAAAUAAUAAGGAACAGUCAUGUAAUAAUAACAAUGACAUAGUUAAAUAUAAUUAUAAUAAUAAAACACACAAAGAUUAAGUUACGUUGAUUAUGAUAUAUGUUAAGAUAUUUUAAGGGUUAAGAUAUACAGUGAAGAGAGUGUCAGGUUUGUCUCCGUGCCUCUCCCAUUAGGGUUUAGAUCACAUUCCACGAGGCUAAAUGUAAUCUCCUUGUUAUCAUUUUCCUUUACAAAAUUAGUGAUGCUGCUCUGUCAAGCUCUCACCACGUGUUUCCUAAGCAGAGUCUGUCUGAGCAGUUGUCAGCCGCUCUGCUUGCUGGCAGUGCAUCCGUCACUCGGAGCGUGUUCCCUCCUCGACUGUUCCCAGAGAGGGAACCUACAGAAGGCACUAAAGGAAGAGAUGGAGGCUCUUCCCCAGAAAGCAGCACUCUGAGAGGAACACAAGGAGGCUUUCGGCUGGUGCCUCACCACAUUCUGCUGAGUCAGGUCAGCAGUAAGUGAAUACUAAUUCUCCUUUGGGAGUCCUAACUACAGCUGAGGAUCUGAGGAAAUUUUGGAAGGAAACAGGGGGGCUGGAGUGCUUUCAUAGCCACUUCCUUGGAAUAUCCAGGAAAAAUACAAAGAGAGACCCAUGACCCACAGCAUCCAGAAACUGCAAUCGCAGGUCAUACCCAUGUUCACCCAUAUUGAUUUCACCUGCAGGACUCCUAUUGGAGAAGGAUUUUUGGAGUGACCUGCUCAUCACUAGCAAGUCCUUACAGGGCUGCCUGUAUUGGGCACUACUAUAAGAUUUGGCAGCAUCAAUGCUGUACCUCUGUACAUACAGAUGCAGGUGCGUGGUGUCCGUUUCUCCUGGCUUAAGCUGAUGUUCAUGGUAUCUGAUUAUUUUUUCAGAGCAUUUAAUAUUUUGUAACAUUUUAUAUAAAUGCAACUUGUUGAGGAGCAGUGACCCUGUAACUGCCCUUCAUUCAUCUAAGGGCAGUAAAAAGUAAAAAGCAGUUACAGUCCUCUCUUGGAGUGAUACAUCUGAAAUAAAUCUAUCACCCGUAACUUAAUGGUAGGUAAUAUUGUCUGGAGUCAGCUGUGUAGAUGGAGGGAGGGAUGGGCGGCAGUGGGUGUCACUGGCAUACAGCCUGCAAAGCUGCUCACAAACAGGCAGAGAGUAACAACAAGAUGAGAAGUAAAAAUGUGCUUUGGGGAGAAAGUCCCGCAAAAGAACUUUUUUGGCAAAGCACUGGCUAAAAACAGGCUUGAAAUGGCAAGCAAAGAAACUGCUUUCUAGUGUUUAAUUCCUGCUUGGUUAGAGGAGCCAUAAGCCAGAGGUUCCUGAAGACUCAUUUGAUUAGUGUUUGGCAGCCAACAGCUUCAAGUGCAGGUCAGGGCAUGGAAGGUUUAGGUCAGCCCCUGCCUGCUGUACCUUGCCUGGCUCCAUGGGACACCCCGCUGGCACCCCGACAUGCAGAGUGGGGACAGCACCCGUGAGUGCCUGGUCAGCAGAGCAAAGAAGCAACAUGAGGUUGGAAGACUUCCUAAAGCAUCAGGCGGUAAUUAAGGACCGUCGAUGAGGAAGAGCCGUGAGGCCUGGGAAGAAAAGGUUGGGCUUCGAGUCAGUGUCGGUAGCCUGAGACUUCCUGGGUUGGGUUUUCUUUAGGUUUGGUUGUGGUUUUUUGUUUGGUUGGUUUUUUGCUUGUUCAUUUGGGCAGGGGGAGGGUUGUGUGUGUGUUUUGUUUUCUCUCUCAUUUUAAAUAACCUUAAUUUAUAUUCCUAAGUGGUUUAGAAUGAAUUGUCCCGAAAUUGUAAAGCACAGUUAAGAGUAAGAGAAUUUCCAAAUAUUUGAACUAGUAAUCAUCCCCAGAAUUUUGAGUACUAAUUUUUGACACACAGUUUAUACAAAAAAAUUACAGAUCUACCUGUAGUGGGACAUUAGGGAAACCUCUCAGAAAAUUAUCUGUAAAUGAGCAGUCUGGAAUCUAUUGAAGGUCCAAUGGAGUAGGAUCUUCAUGUUCUGGCACCAACUGCUUUGCUUUCAGCCAUUUUUUACACUUUGUUUCUGCCCAUCCACUUUCAGAUGUAACUCAUCUCCCCUGGAUGGUGAUUCCAGCACUGCUGCAGAGACUGUCCCACUGCACAUUCUGUAAUAAAAAAUACACCACAACAGGUUAUAUUUAACAAGGAAAAGAGGAAUAGAAAGUGGUACAUCUGCACAAUGAAUAUAAUAUAGCAUUGACUUGGAAUUUCCUGACUUCAGCAGUCCCUCCAAAAUAAUAAUGCAUUAAUAGAAUUACACUUAGCUCUCUGCUUUUGAAAGGAAAAUAUUUGAAAGCAAAAGUCUUUUCAUCUUCCAAGUUCUUCUGGCUCUAUGUGUGAGAUAGUGGAAAUAACACAGGACUGUGUAACCACAGCAAACAAGUGGGGGGAAUUCUGGAGCUGCUUGGCUGGCCCGAAGCAGAGUGGUCGUGAAAGAGCAGCCUGGAGUUUGGAUUUAAUAGGUGAAUUAUUUCCACCCCUCUAAACUCCAUUCAUUUCUAUGGAUGAAACUAAAAUUAUUCUCUUGUAUGCAGAACUCAUGGUGACCUAUAAUUAAGGAUGUCUGACAUUUCCAUUAUAAGAGGCAGGUUUUAGUUGGCUAUAAUUUCAGCGUUUGGUUGAUUUAAAUUUUAACUGAUUAGGCAGGAGUUUCCUUUUCUGGAUAUCUCCUGCAAUCUGACUUUUUUGAGAGGGAUGCAGUAGAGAAAGAGCAAGAAGUUCAGCAAAUAGUUCAUCAGUAUUUAUAAAACAAUUAAACAAAAAUACAUUAUUUUGACUAUGCAGAGAAGCUCUAAACAUCUUGCUUAAAAUUUGGCAAAGAUGUCACUCUCUUUUGGGGAUGUUUUUUCUGCUUUCUGAGGAAAAUAUCAGCAAAUUUAGCACAUGUAAAGGCCAAGGGAAAAAAAAAAAACCAAACAAAAUUAUCCCGAGCAUGCUCCAAAGCAGGGACAGAAUUAGCUCACUGAGGAACUCUUGAUUGAUCCACCAGUAAAAAUGCUGAGAGGGAGCAGAAAUAAGUACAUAUUUAACCUCCCAGCAAUUAUAACUUUAAUGAGGCUUAGCUGAUAGAAUGUAUAAAGUUAUUUUGCUAGUCUGUUUUACCAGCAAAAUUCUGUAAUAUAGACAAAACUUCAGAAGCGUAGACUUUAUUCUCUCUCUUAUAAAUGAAUUCUAUCUUUAGCAUUGUUGUAAAACCAAACACAUGAACCUCUGUCUCACUGACUUCUUCCUAGGCGUUUUCCUAGAAAGCAUUACCAAAUGCUCUUUGUGGACUGAUAUUUUAAACCAUAUCAAUAAAAAUAUCUAUGAUGUGUAAAGAUGACAGAACUUUGGGAUCUCGGUCAGUGGAGAUCAAUCAACAUUGUUUGUGUACAGCUCUAUGUCUUAACUCUAUUCUCCAUUAAGUUCAGUUUUAAUAUCCAGCCUGUUGCUGCCAACCAGGGAUAUUGUUGAUGUGCCAGAGAUGUCAGAGACUUUGGUUCUGAAGCUUCCUCAGUGCUAUACUGAAGUGGAAAUCCCUUCUGCUCUUCAUUGUCCACAUAUCCUCAGAAUACAUUAUUACCAGUAGUAAUACAGAAUACAUUGCAUUACUACUAGUAAAAAAAUGGCCUUACUAUUGUUUACAGAAACAAUGCCAAUCUUUUGUUUUCAUGAUAAGGGAGCAAUUUGCACUUGUUUUCCUUCGCAGGUUAUUCUGUAUCUCGACAAUUUAAGAUAUUAGGUUUUGACACUUCACUGUUUUUAUGUGGGUGUAUUUGGAGAUAAGUUCACAAACCAAAAGGCUUUACUGAAAGAUGCUGCUCCUGCUUUGGAAACAGCUCUGGGAGCUGGGGGUGCUGUGCACGGAACGCCAAGGGGCCCGGCUGACAGGUUGGUGCCACCACUGCCAAGGACUCGCGAGACACUGGUGGACAUUGGGUCAGGCCCUCGAGGUUUUCUGUCUCCUUCCAUUUAACUGCAUGCCUGAGCAAGCCUGAGCAGCUUGUCCUGCAGUGAGCCUGAGCGUGGGAUCAGUGCAAACACAUAUGUUCUUGUGGCUUUGUUGGGCCUUGAAAAUCCGGUGGGAGUAUGUAGGCAACUUAGUCGUGAUUGCAGCAGGCUGUGAGCAUGACCAGGGACAUCGCAGAGCUUCAAAACCUUGCUGAAGAUUGUGUUAAGGUUAAUGACAUCGGGUAUGCAGCUGAUUUACAGCGUGCUGAAAGCUUCCCUCCUGUAUAAGAUAUACAAGAACAAACGAUGUGAACUGGGAAUUUUUGAUGUGCAAGUUUAACAUAUUGCUGCAUCCUAAAAUCACCUUGGAGGUUUUGUUUGUUUGUUUGUUUUCAGUCCAAACAUCUAAUGCUGAUUUUCAGUAAUUAAAAAUCGCAAUGUGUGUGGUGUUUACAAGUUCUAGAAGCUAAAUCCAGGUUUUGUCUACCGCUUAGGUGGUAUCUACCUACUGCAUGUCCUAUGAUUUAGGUUAACGGGAAAAAAUGUACUGGCAUUAUUUUUUUCCAUCUGUUCCUUAACCUCUGAUAUUGAGCUUCUAAAAAGCUCAAAGCAGACUAAACAGAUCACAGUCAAAACAGUAAGGUUGCUUUUCAUGCAUUCUUUAAAUCAGAUGUUUUAAUUAUAGUUUUGGGUUUGUUUUCUAAUUAGAAAACAGGUUCACAAUGUGGUAUCUAUCUUCUUCCAUUUGAAUCAAUAAACAGAGAAGUCAUGAGAAAGGGACCUCUUCUCUUCAGGGAGUCUUGUUAAUGUUGACUCAGGUUGUUAGUGCUUAUUCUUUUCUCUUUUCUUCUCCUGCCUACUUCCCAGUCUUUUCUCUUUCAGUUCCCCCUCUUGUUUCCCAAUCUGCUGCCCUACACAUAACAUGUAUGCAUUUGUCCUUCAUAUUUACCUGCUGUGUUGUGAAUGUGCUGUAUUUUUUCAGUCUGCAUUGCAAAAGUAAGCUCAAACCAGGCUAAAUGGUGCUUUUUAAGCCUAUAAAAUUUCAGACGUUUCACUGAAAGUGAAGCAAGAUAAAUACUUCAGCUAUAAAUAGUGGAUAAGGACUUCUAAACAACUUGUGAGACCUGUUUGGAAUUAUCCUGAAGGUUUGCCUCCCACCUGAAAAUCACAGAGCUGGCUGAGAAACGAGUACUUCAUGUGCUUGCAACUUGAUUAAAUUGAGAUCAGUUACUAAAUGGUCUCACUCUUUUGUUUGCUCUGUGCUUUGGAUGGCAUAGUCAGAUUUCAUAACUUCUCUUUUAUGGUUAGCUGAGUCCAAUUCCUGCAAAGACUUAACAUGUAUAUUUAACUUUAUUUUGGUUAACUGUCUGUGUGAAAACUUUUUACGUUUGUCACGCCGAUUAGUUUCUUCCUUGCUGAAAAGACCGCUGUAAAUUUCAAUAGGGAAACAGAAAAGUCCCUUAACAAUUUUUAAGGAAGCUUUUAAAACAAUAAUUUGAGGAUGUACUAUUUGAAGUGAAUUGUAUCAGAUACUGCAUUAUUUUGAAAUAAAAAAUGCUUGAAUAACAGUGACCUGUAUGUUUAUGUGUUGAGACUUGCUACUGCACAGUUGGAAGUUCAGAAACUGUUUGUAAGGGAGCAAGUAAUCAGAAAUUCAAGUAUAAUGAAGUGCUGUGGGUCCAAGGCCUGCAAUUCCCACUUGUUUAACCAGGAGCGCAGGAUAUUUUGGGUCCCUGAAGACUCCAGACACAUCUUGCUUGUGCUCCAUAUUGCUCCUGUGUGUCAGCUCUGAAGGGCUUCUCCUGGGAUCUGGAAACAAAUGAGUUAAGUCAGUUAAAACAGAUACCACAGAAGGACCGGUAGAAUUUUUUAAAUUUUAAAGCCAUUAUCUAUCUUCAAAUCCCUUCACUAGACCUACAUUAAAAUAAUGAUCGCAACCCAAAUAUAGAACAUUUGAACUGUCCUUUUCCAGGCCAGAUGUGCUAUGUUAUGUAAUGCCAUUUUAGGGUGAUUGCUGGAGCUUGGAGUAAAAGGAAAAUGAACAUAUUACAGAUAUUGUUCCAAAAAGCAAACGUCAUUAAAAAUGUUAUAAAACUCAAGGCCUCGAGCAAAAAAAAAUCUAGAAAACACAAGUUCUACACAGAGCCUUGCCUCCAUUAGGCUGAACUCUCCAGCAAGGUGCAAUCCAGCCACAGGCCCCAGAGGUUAUGAUAAACCCAGAGCCCAAAUACACUUGCCUGCACAAGCACGCUUUAUCAGGAUACAAAAGCAUUGUAACUCCUCAGAGCUUAUUCCUGCAGGCACGGCACAUUUCUAAGUUAAAUGCACCAAAGCAGAAAUUUUCUCCAUAUGCUUUUCAAAACCCUAUUAAAUAAAAACCAUCCAAGCAAGUAGUUGUCGAUACGUAUGUGCAACAGGCUUCCCAGAAAUUCUUUGUAAAUAGAGCAUCAAUGUUUUCCACUGUUCGCAGGGAGGAAAUCUGCUGAGUUCAGACUGCUGUAAUCAAAUCCACAUUGCAAAGUCACAAGUAGAGAAACAAAGGACAAUCACUGUCCAUUUUUUGCACUGCGGAUGCAUUAAUCAGACUCCAUUUUCUUCACUGCUUUGGAUUGCGUUCCCACAGUGACGUGCCAGUCUCCUGCCUCCCUUGGUUAUGUAGCUGUCCCCACCGUCACCGCAGCCAGAGCUGGGGACAGCACAAUUGCCACUUGAAGCAUUUCACAGCUGUGAUCCAAUGCAGAAGGCCGACGUCUCCACAGAGCACUGGAGAAGCAGACAUAGCAGGAGAAAGGCUUGUAGUGUCUAUGUUGAGUGUCUAAACACCUAUAGGGAGCAUACCAUGAGAGCCACAGAGCUCUGUUGGCUCAGGGAGCAUUUAUUCUCUUUCAAAUCUUUUUUCACUAUGAAGAAAAUGUUGUUCCUUUUCAGGCAUUCUGGAGCAAGAGCGAAAGCAGGAACCCAGUUGUGCCCGGCCUCUCUGCAGGGAGGUGGGAGCGGGGAGGACUGAGGGUGCUGUGCUGCGGUAACGCCCAGAACACAACCUGUCCCUGAUGAGAAACGGGGCCUUUAGCCAUCACUUGUUGUCGAUGGAGGUGGCAGAGCAGCUACACCCUGCGAGAGCCGCAGGGAGGAUCAGGUCCCGAAAGGGAUAAGCCUUGGAGUGUUUGAGAGAAACCUGCUUCCCUCUGGGAGAGGGACUCAGCAGUAAACGUGCAGCAUUUGUAGGCCAUUAUAGUACCCCCAUGACUUCAGACUCUUUGUAAGGCCUACUAAGGGGCAGGAAUAGGCAGGACUAAGGGGUAGGAGCAGGCAGGAAUAGGUAGUUGGUUUGGGCACAGCAGAUACCAGUAAUGUACUGCUGUAUGGUCCAUGCCUAGACCCAGGUAACUGGGCCUGUCUGGGCCCGGUCCCAGAUCUCUGACUUGGUUCUGGGAAGGCCGGGGUGCCUGCACAGCUCUCAAGUGUUCAGAAAAGCCAGUAUGGGUUUUCAAACCCAUUUAGUUUUGCAAAUCUGUUUCAUUGCUAUGGUGUUUCUAGAUCUGUGCCUUUUUUUCCCCUUUAGCAGCAAUGCCAUCAGUAAGAGAGAUUUAAAGAGAGCAAUUAUAUCUCCUCUUUGGCUUUAUUUAGGAAUUAUUUUUAGUCUCAUAAGGUAGUGCACCCAUAAAUUAAACUGCUUAACCUUGUAGCCUUCCUCUGCACCUAUCCCAAUUUGACUUUGUCUUUUCUGAAUGUGAGUGACCCAGUUAUUCAAAGGAUGUCAGAGGAGGUGUCAUCAACACUUUGGACAAGGGCUUGAAUUCUUCCCACACUUUUUUCUAUCCUGUGACCGCGUUUUGCACCCUAUAUGUUUGUCAUUUCCCAGGACCGCACUGACGGGUAGGCCAUGGUAAUCCUGUGAUCAAUCAGCAUCUUCAUGCUUAUCUCUCUCUGUUGUUUCCGUUUCAUUCUUGUUGUUAGCUGAAGCUCUUGAUCUCAUACUUUUUAGUUUUCAGUUCCAGCUCAUUUCUAUUACCUUACUCCCCCUUUCUGACUCUUUCUGAAAAAAAAAAAAAAAAGUUAUAUUGAUGAUUCCACCUUAUCCUGAUUAUUAACUACUCAUAUUCUUCAAGGCACUGCUAUUUUAUGUAAAAUAAUAAUGUAAAACUGGGAGAAUCAGGAGGCCUUGGUCUUUUUUGAGUUGGAUAACGUCGGACAACAUGUGCCUGUCACCGCACCAGGGCUGGGAGCUUGUGGAAAGCGAGUGUUGCGGUAGCUGGCAACACACACAGAGUCUGCGGCUCACAGGGAAUCACUGUACGGUUUUUAUGCAAUUGAUUAAAUGAUGUUGUGCACAGUCAUCAAAAAUGGAGCUUCAUGAUAUAUGUAAUGAUGUGCUUUGUUCUAAUCUUUGCCUGAAUGAUAUCAGACGAACAUCAAUUUCUAGAUGAAAUAAAUGUAAAUGAAUGUAACCAAGCCUGACAAAGUUAUCAGACAUUCCAAUUGCUGGAGGUAAACCGAGAGAAUAUAAUUUCCCCAUCCUGCCCCCAAUAAAAUCUUCUAAAAACUCACAGGUGGAGGAUUUGCUCCUUUAGGAGGCCAGUACAGCUGGUCCCUGAGUGGUCCUGGAGCAAAAACAGCACUGAUCCCCAUGUCCUGCAAAGGUGGGCUUAAUGAAGCAGUAGAGAUUUUACAGUGGCUGAAAUAUAAAUAAAGAAGAAAGGCAAAUGUCUGAGGAUGAGUCAGCCAAGAGGUGAAUCUGUUUACUCAAAAGUGGGCUGUUUUGCAGAUCACACCGAGACUUAGAAAUGAAGAUAAAGCUGCAGUGCUUGAACUUUUUAGAAAUGUUUGAUUAAUUGCUAGAGGCUGAUAUCUAAGGUGUCCCUGGCCCUUUUUUUUCCAGCUCUUAUUUCUUUAGCUUUCUGUUCUGCUGUUUCCUUUUUCUCUUUAUUUUUUUUCUCUAAUUAAAUAUAAAUAAAAAGGACUGCAUGUUCUGUGCUGUCACUUAUGAUACAUAAAUUCUCACCAGCAAUCCCAGAUUCAUUAGUGAUUUUAACUGACAGCUUGUAAUUAAAUAAAGAUAGAAGGUUUAUAGGUUUCAACUGCAUAUCUGUAUUUUUUCUCUUCUGGUUGUUUUUGCAAACUUAUCAGUAUGUGAAUCAGGGCUUUUUUUUACAUGUCUACAUGUAGAAAUAUUUCUGCUUUUGUAUCUGAUCAGAUUAGAAUUAGGUCACUUCCAGUCAAGAAAGCUGCGCUGAUAUAGCUGAUGUAUCAGCUAGGAGAGUCAUUUUUUUGUUUGGUUGGUUUGGUGGUUGGUUUGUUUGUUUGCUUCCCUUUCUGACAGGGGAAAAUCCAAGUUUAAUGCGCCGUGAAGCCAGGAGAAUCACCACAAGGACUUAACAAAAAUUCAUGCUUUUUUUCUGGAGAGCUUAUUUUCCUUCGGGUGAAGCUCUGCAGCCAUGUAGCGAGAAGGCUUUCUGAGGAGAGGCCCCUUCUCUUGUUCUUCAAUGAGACAGCUGGCAUUUUUUAUGGAGGUGAUCUGCAUUGCCAGACCAGGACACCUGAAAGCGGUGUCCCCCAGUUCUGCGUGGGAAGCCAGGCCGCCUUGGCUCCAGGCACACUUUCCAUAGAAGAGGGUGCUGUGAAACAGGAAAAUCAAUUCCAUCCUGGGUCCUAUUCGCACCUAACUUGGCAAUCCCUCUUCAUAUUAGCAGAAGUACUGAAGGCUGGGAAAACUUAGUUUAUGCUGUUCGGCUACAGACCCUUCCUAUUUUGUCUGUAUUUACUCCCUUUUAGUACCAGUACUGCUUACUGGGAAUUUGUUAUGAAGUAAAAGCCUUAAAUGCAAACUACUUCCCAGGCCAGUAAGAAAUAUUUAAACACUUCAGGCAUUUAGUCUGUGAUUCAGAGAUUUAUUUAUAAAACUGUUGAUUUUGGGACACUAAACCGUUGCAUUUAAACUGCAGAAAUGAGUCAUAUUUGUGGGAGGUAAUUACUACCAGAAAGUACAACUAACUUUUGUAGGUUUCUCUGUAAAAUGUCCACUUAUGAUCUGCAACUACUAAAAAUAACAUGCUUUGUUGAAUUUUAGUACAAGCUAUCUUCACAGAACUUUGUGGCUUUAUACAUGUAUUCUGUUUUCCUGACAUAUGAUAACAUAAACGACUCAAAUGCCUGAGAAUUUAUUUGAGUGUUUUAUGUGAACUGUCCUGACCAGGUAACUUGUUCGACUUUUACACUUUUCAUGAAAAACAAAUACUUUGUUUUAACAAAAAGGGAAAAGCCGUUUAACAGGGGAACAGUUGUAGCUAGCAUUUACAAACAGUGUUGGUUCCUCAGAAAAGCCUCUGAUUUCUUGAAUCACCCAAAACCACAAUAUCUACUCAAUCUGUUCUCUCCUGUGCGGUUAGCGGAUCUUGGGAGCUGAGGGACUUCCAGAUGUCCAACACCUGCAGAAGCUACUUGCAGAGCAGGAGGGAACUUUCCUCAUUAUCCCUCAGUCAUGACUGAGGAAUUCAAGUUUAUUUAACUUGUGGUCACUUAGCAGCACUCUCUACUAGCAGAUGAGUCAGAAGCUAUGCCACCUAUCCCAAGAGAGUACCCUGCAAUGGGGUUCAGAAAAAUAAUGUCAUCUCUCCUGGCAUACUAGGUUUUGAACAGUUUUUCCCAUGUCAGUCACAGAGACCUUAAGGUGCACCAUAAACCCAAGAGGCCUUUCAUUGCCAGCAGACCAAAAAUGGAGUUGCUAUCCAGAAUUUAAACUACAGUCCUCUGAAAAUCUCCUUCCCCUCCAAAAUGGGCAGUUAUAGAAGAAGGCUUCCUUUAAAAACUGCAAUUACCCGUGUGCGUGAUUUGCCAGGAAUCAGUUAUUCUCUGCUACAUUUCCCAGGAAUCUUGUGAUCAGAUCAUGGUCAGGAAGUCGUUGUCCUGUCCCCCCUGCUCAUCCAAAGUGAAUCCAGCUCCCAAAAACUGCGUAGUUCUGUGAGGUGAUGGGGGUCAGACGUGGGGAGGAUGGGACUUGCCUUUCCAUGGCUUUGCAAAGAAGAGAACUAAAUAUUAUUGUCCUUUAUGCCUGGUUGGGCAGCUCCACCCUUUUCUACCCAUGGUUCUCAGACAAAUAACAGUUAUUUUUCCUUGCUUUCCCCCCUGCCUUUUCUAGGGUCAGGAUUUAAUUAACAGCUGGUUCUGGGCAUUGUGCUGCACUUGGCCAUGGCAGUGGUGCUGGCUGGCAGAUGAUUUGUCCACAUCAAGGGAGCUCCCCAUGCUGCUGGAAUGUCACCCUGAUGUGCCCACACAGGAGAAGGGCUGCGUGAGGGACAACCUAUGCUUUGAGAUACCACGCGUAGCAGGAUGUCAGCUGGCGCUCAGGGAGGGUCAGGACUGUUGCUCAUCGGCAUUGAAGUGGAUGUGUGUACACUUACAUUAAGUUACAAAUUGCAUCUUUGAGGUGUUGUAUCAGUACUACUUGCUACAGCAAAGUAGUGUUGGAAGGCAAAUUGCCUUUUCCCUUGAAUUCACUCUACAAGAACAGUGGAAUUAUGACUUCAGAUUGAUUAAUGGCCUACUCACUCUAGUGUCUUCAGCCAAGGAGCAAGAGUCACCAAAGCUUCAGAGAAAGAGAUAAAACCUCAUAAUAAUAUUUAGAUAAUAAGAUGCUUUUUUUUGGCAAAAUACUUCCUAAUAUCAAAGUUAUUUUUGCUUGAGAAGUUAAUGAAAGAUGCACAAAACCCUCCUCUUCUGAUGGCUUCUUUGAUGACUUUAAAAAAGGAAACACUUGCCUCCCAAACAAAACAACGAUGGCCACUUCAAAACAGAUAAGCCAGGGACAGAAAUGCUGCUGGGACUGUGCUGCUAGCCCUCAAUCACUAGCACCGAGGCCAAAUACAGUUUCUGGGGGAUGCUUGCUAAAAUACUGGGCUGUUUGCACCUCAAACAGGGGGAUGUGAAGCCAGACCAGCAGAGCUCCCACUGCCUUGGUUUCUCCAGAAAGAAGAGGCAAAUACAAAGGACACUCCUUCUGGGAGGACUUGACCGGCAGCAAUGAGGACUAGCCUAGAGGGUUUAAAGUGAUUGCCAGUAUAAUGGUGCCCCAGGCCCAGCCCUUGCUGCAGGCAGGGCAGGAGUGGCGUGGGGCUGAGCUGCCCAGCCACUUCUCCGACCAACAGCUCCACACAGGCAGCGGUGAAGGGCUUCUCCUACUUCCCAGCUCACCCAGCCCUACAACAUGGCCCCUUUCUCUUGUUCCUUUCACCAGCUGCAAGGUAUUGCUCUGGUUUUGGGUGAGCACCCUCCUGGGCUUUGCUUCUGUGGUGUUUCCUGCCACCAUGGACCAGCUCUUUUUAGGCCUCCUGUAAACCACCGCAAGUAGAAACUCCUUUAUGGCCUGUCUCCUUUUCUAACAAGGAAUACCCCACCAGAGGAGCACUGAGGUGCCCAAGCCCAGACCUUGACCCAGGAGAGAUUUAUUACAUGCUUUCUUGCUCCUCUGCCCUUCCAACUUUGGUAAGGACUCUGCACCUUGAAGCUUCUGCCAAGAGACUUUUGCCUGAUAUGGAGAAGCAUUAGAAAGGCUGCCUGCAGCCAGACACAUCUACAGAAAGAAUGGUAACUGCACUUUGGUACGGAGCUUGGGCUCUGCAGUCUCUGGUUUAAGUGUAAGGGAAGUCAGCAGCAUUUUCAAGCCAAUGGCUUCCAGUCAUUCACCUUCAGGGAUCCUAGAAGUGUAGUGGGGAUUGCAGGGAUAAAGACUGGUCAUGGAUUACUCAUAAAAAGAAAAAAAAAAUUAGUAGAACUAUAUAAAUGCUAGCUGACAGCUUGUUUGCCAAGUUUUAGUCCAGUAGAGUUGAAAUGGCCAAGUUUUUAAUGCCAAAAAUUGAGGUUUGUAAAGGAAAUACCAAACCAAUCUUGGCAGAAAAAAAGAGUUGGACAUUAAACUACAGAGCAUAGACUGCAUUUGCUUCAUAGGUGGAGAAAUAAACAAGUUACAAAAAAGAAAA